GUCCAAUUUACCCUUUUUAACUGC
rnacentral:siRNA from 1 species